rnacentral:rRNA from 1 species
GACGAACGCUGGUGGCGUGCUUAACACAUGCAAGUCGAGCGGAAAGGCCCUUUCGGGGGUACUCGAGCGGCGAACGGGUGAGUAACACGUGAGUAAUCUGCCCUUGGCUUUGGGAUAACUACCGGAAACGGUGGCUAAUACCGGAUACGACCACUCCUUGCAUGAGGUGGUGGUGGAAAGUUUUUUCGGCCAGGGAUGUGCUCGCGGCCUAUCAGCUUGUUGGUGGGUAAUGGCCUACCAAGGCUUCGAACGGGUUAGCCGGCCUGAGAGGGUGACCGGCCACACUGGGACUGAGACACGGCCCAGACUCCUACGGGAGGCAGCAGUGGGGAAUAUUGGACAAU